rnacentral:lncRNA from 1 species
UUCCAACCAUAAACCACAUCUCCAAUUUUCUCGGCAGGGAAUGGGUUGACAUCAAAACGACGCCGUAUUAGUGUUUUGAUUAUGGGGGUGUUUCCGUAAUUUAUUGUAAUCAGAGUUGAGGCCUGAAUUACCUGAAUCUUCUCCGCCGAAUUACGAACCCUAACAAGACUACGCUCCCUGCAUCGAGACGGAGGAGCUCAGUGACGCCCUGUUGUCCGUCGGAAUCUUGGUAUCAUUACUGGUACUUCUUCUUAUUCUUAUUUUAAUUGAUUAGGUUGCUGAUUGGUCGCAUGAUUAAAUUAGUUGCCUGCGCAGAGUUUGUACUGGUGAAUUAUGAAAAGGGGGAUUCCAUGGAGUGACGAUGAAGGUAAAGGGUCGUCAGAUUCCGACGAUGAAUCGUCGUCCUCGUCGGCAUCGGAUUCUGAGAAUGAGAUUGCCAAAACCAAGACGAAAUCCAAGAACGCAUCUAAAGGUACCCUGUCAUAUCUGGUUACAUAUCUGGUUUCUCGCUUACAACUGACUUGUCAACUUGAAAUCCUUGGUUAAAAGAUGUUACAGCCUUCUUCAAAUUACAAGUUCAAUUUUUAGCUGUUGGGAUUGAAUAGAUGAGUUAAAAGAAUCAAUUUGCCACUCCAAAGCCACUAUUUUUGCUGAUCUUAAGUGCAAUUUUACAACGAAUCAGAGAGCCAUUGUUUUCUUUUGCUGUAAACUUAGUUUGACUUUAGUUUUGUGAUGGGUGAUUACUUAUUAGAAUGUCUUUGAUGUGGAUUCUAUAGGCAAGGCUGCAAAGCGUAGGGGUGGAGUUGUGGACUUUGAGGACCUAAGGCGACAUGGAUACAAAGGUGCACCAUCAGUCCUGAGAAUGCCACCACCUAAAGACGACACUGAGCCGAACUGGACCUGG